GGCAAAGGCUGAAAAGAAGGCCAAGAAAAGGGAUUUCAGCCAUUUGAUUGCCUCUGAAAAGCUACAGGCAGGGGCCUGCAACCCUGGUCCUGGAUGCCCAUGGGGUCUGCAUGUUUUGUUUUUACCAUCAGCAAAAUAUCAAGCCCCAGAAAACUAGCUUUCUGGCCACUGCAUCAUCCUUGGCCUUGGGGAGAAGAUCCACCACGGCACAGUCGGAGAAGUAACACCCACUCAGCGGCUCAAUGCCCUCCUGGAGGGCACAGUGCAGAGUGGUCUGGGCUCCAGAAUCUGCAUCUACGCAGAACAGCAUGGCUCCUGGAAUGAGGAGGAUCUGCCACCAUACACUAGUGUAACGAGUUAUACCCGUUCUGACCCCUCCUGUGGAACAGAAAAUCUCUGGAGCUAUUUGCCGUCAGUCUGGUUGUCAGCAAGUGAAAUGCUCAACUGGAAUGAGGUCAGAUGAUUGACUUGACUUAUUCUAAUUUUUGACUCCUUGGUUGGUUUGGCUGUAUCUUUUGGAACAUUGUCCUGCUGUAGGAUGAAGCGUCGGCUUGGAUGUUUUCUAUAGACUUUGACAGUCAGCAGCAGCGACGUCAUCAAUGAACAUAAGUGAGCCAGUUCCAGUGGCAGCCAUACAUGCCCAAGCAUGCGCAAAAACACCAC